rnacentral:lncRNA from 1 species
AUUAGUUUUAAUGUCGAAGUCUUUCUUCGAAUCCACCUUUACUCCCAAAUUUACCGUAACUUCUCGUAAUUCAAGGCCAAAGUAUUCUUUGUUCUCUUUGUUCCUUUCCUCUUCCUCUUCGCACUGGGAACUGUUCUUGAACAUAACCUGUCUCAAACGAUUACGAUCACGACGGAGUCUUCGUUCCAUGACCUUUCAGUUACGAAUAGGUGGCAUCAUAGUGGUGCAUAUCGAUGUGGUAUUCAUCAAUGAAUAUAAGUUUGUAUUUUUCUCAUAGCGUAUGAAUCUCCAAAGAAGAAGAAGCGUAUGAAUUUCUAAGCACACAGGAGGAAAAGAGAAAG